rnacentral:lncRNA from 1 species
UGGGGAGCUACUAAGACCGAGUCUGAUUCGGUCUUGGAUGCUUAGCCAGACAACUGCUUAUCAGGAGCCCUCAGAUGGAAGACAGGAAAUUAAUGUUGGCUUGCAGGUCCAUUAGUGCUGAGCUGCCCACGGUUGCUUGGGAGAGCGCAGCACCCAGGCCUGGCCACACCUCUGUGCUCUUACAGCAGCACCAGACAUUUUCUAACACAAAUUUAGAUCUAAAAAAAGAGAACUGCAGAGCCUGGGUCUCAUGUAACUUCAACAUGACCACUUGAAAGAUGAAGAGAUUGUUGGCCCAUUGUCAUCUUCUGUAUGAACACAGUUGGUUAAGGAACCCUGUUCUUCACUGGGCUGAGUGUCAAGGGUCAGAAAUCAAGGGUUUGAAAUCACCAGGGCCCAUGCCCUGGUCUCUCCUAUAACCCCAACUCCUAGCAGUUGUCAGCUCUGGAGAACAAGACCUUGACUAGGAAACUACCCAGGUUUAAGCCACAGUGAUGCCUUUCAUUCUGGGGCUUAAUGUGCAGGCUUUAGAGUUGGACAUGUGGUUAGUUGGUGUUUUGCUGUUGGCCAGGCAGGGGAAGGUAGGAGAUUUACUAAAAGGCUACAUGCCUCAUCUUUCUCAAGUGAAAAAUGAAGGCAACAUGGCCUUCAUGGAAUUCUGGUAAGAUCAUCUGGGAAAAGAAGCGUCCAUCACUGCUCUUUAUGCCUUCCCACUGACCGGAAGUCUCUUGUAGAGGGCAAACACACUGAAAGAAAUGGAGCAAUUGAAGUUUAUUGCUUUUGUUGGUAAACUAGACAAUGUUGGGUCUGCACCUACCAUUAAGCCACCCAGUCUCCCCAAAGUGAAAAUUAUAUGUCAAGAAUUGCAGCUUCCUGGCUCAAUGCAAAGGGGAGCAUACGUAUUUUGAACAUGGGGCUGCAGAGCCCCUCAGAAGAGAGUGGGAAGAUGAAUCUAAGCUGACAUUGAGGAAAAUGAGUCAAACAGCUAUUCUCCACAUUUAUAAAAUUAUUAUUUUAUUGAAAGUCAUUUGCAUCUUUAUACAUCUCUAAAGGAGUUAAUCUGUGAAGUACUUUUAUUUUUUUUAAGGGUGAAGAUAAAGAUAAAUCAGUAUAGCCUCUUAGUCACUGUGUGUGCCUUUUAUUUCCUGCUCUUUGUGCUGGGAUUCACAGCACCCCCAAAGAUUGAAACACCUCAAGGCUUCAGUUUCGGCAGUGCUGAGGUUUUAGUGCUUUCUUUACCCAGUAAUCCAAGGGUGCUACCCAAGCAGACAAAAAAGGCUAUUCACCCCAAAGAGAAGCAUGCAUUCUUCUGAGAAGUAGACAUCUAGGCCUUUCUUCUGAAGCCCUAGGCUCACAGGCUAGACUUACGUGCUACUGUAGCCUUCAACAAAUAACCUUGAACCCAAAGUUAGGCUGGAUGCUUUAAUCUCACCUUUGCAAUACAAUCUUAGGCACUUACUGUCCAUUAGUAUGUUCUCCUCAUCUACAAAUGGAGGCAACGCCUAAAGGCUCCUAAUAAGGACAGAGUAAAUGCAUUGCAAGUCUUAACCAUAGGACAUGUUUAGAUAUGUAUAUACUUGGAUCUGAAAGAAAGGCACUAAAAACCAACCAUCCCAUUUCUUAUCUACCCCCUACUCCCAGCCAUCCACCCUUCUCUGCUUAUAUUGAAAGGGAGUAAUUUAGAGAAAUGGAAGUCAAGCUCUGACCAAGCUCACUUAGCCACACUUAUCUUUUCUGAACAAUUGAUCUUAUAACUUCAUCUAAAAGUGAGCCGCAUGCCUAAAUUAAUACAGAAAUCUAAAGAAUACCUAAAAUGUUUGAUUUGCCGUGUUUUUGUUUUAUUUUGUUUUUUGUUUGUUUGUUUUUUGUUGUUUUACCU